rnacentral:lncRNA from 1 species
GGAAAAACAAACACUUUGGGCAUGGUCUCAAGUGGAAUAUUGGCCAUAUUCGUUCUACUAUUUCGUUGUGUACAGAGACCUGAUUUAAACAUUGAGAGAAGGGACAUCAAACGGGAUGGGAAGCACAGAGGAAUUGCAGAAGGUGAAGAGGAAUAAACUGCAUUUUACUGCAAAGUUGGAAGACGUUGCUGACAUCAGGCACUGGGGAGCACCGCUUGCAUUUCCAGCAGGGAUCCUUUUGACUGACAGAGUUUUAUUUGUGUGAGCAGCUACCUCGCUGAAAUUUUCCUCCCUGUACAAAGGAAAGAGACUCCAGGCAGCCAGCUGGUGGAAGGACACGCCUGUCCUCAUUCCCCUUCUCAUGCAUGAAUGCACUGGCUGAUUUCAAGUGAAUUUGACAGGAAGCAGUGCUUUCCUUCUCACCCGAGCCC